UCCCUUAGUAGCGGCGAGCGAAACGGGAAGAGCCCAAACCAACAAGCUUGCUUGUUGGGGUUGUAGGACACUCUAUACGGAGUUACAAAGGACGACAUUAGACGAAUCAUCUGGAAAGAUGAAUCAAAGAAGGUAAUAAUCCUGUAGUCGAAAAUGUUGUCUCUCUUGAGUGGAUCCUGAGUACGACGGAGCACGUGAAAUUCCGUCGGAAUCUGGGAGGACCAUCUCCUAAGGCUAAAUACUCUCUAGUGACCGAUAGUGAACCAGUACCGUGAGGGAAAGGUGAAAAGCACCCCGGAAGGGGAGUGAAAUAGAACCUGAAACCGUGUGCUUACAAGUAGUCAGAGCCCGUUAAUGGGUGAUGGCGUGCCUUUUGUAGAAUGAACCGGCGAGUUACGAUUUGAUGCAAGGUUAAGCAGUAAAUGUGGAGCCGUAGCGAAAGCGAGUCUGAAUAGGGCGUUUAGUAUUUGGUCGUA
rnacentral:rRNA from 1 species